UGGGGAAUUUUGGACAAUGGGCGCAAGCCUGAUCCAGCAAUGCCGCGUGCAGGAUGAAGGCCUUCGGGUUGUAAACUGCUUUUGUACGGAGCGAAAAGGUCUGCCCUAAUACGGUGGGCUCAUGACGGUACCGUAAGAAUAAGCACCGGCUAACUACGUGCCAGCAGCCGCGGUAAUACGUAGGGUGCGAGCGAUAAUCGGAAUUACUGGGCGUAAAGCGUGCGCAGGCGGUUAUAUAAGACAGAUGUGAAAUCCCCGGGCUCAACCUGGGACCUGCAUUUGUGACUGUAUAGCUAGAGGACGGUAGAGGGGGAUGGAAUUCCACGUGUAGCAGUGAAAUGCGUAGAUAUGCGGAGGAACACCGAUGGCGAAGGCAAUCCCCUGGACCUGUACUGACGCUCAUGCACGAAAGCGUGGGGAGCAAACA
rnacentral:rRNA from 1 species